rnacentral:lncRNA from 1 species
CAUACAUCGAUUCAUUUGUCCUGAAAGAUUUCUUCCAAAGAUUGACUUUCAGGGCAUAUUUCCAACAAUUCUUACACCCCUCUCGACAUUUUGCAAAGUGUUUUUCUUUUUCAGUCUGUGGAUGUGGCACUGUUUUGACAAACGUAGCCCACCUUGGGUAAACACCGUCUGCAAGGUAGUAUGAUCCGUCGUAUUUAGUGCCAUUAACCCGAUAUGUGCAUUUGGGUGAUUUUCCUUGCAGUAGAUCGUCGAACACUGGAGAUUGAGCAAGGACAUUUAGGUCAUUCUGAGCUCUUGGAACACCAAAAAAAGCAUGCUAAAUCCAUGUAUCAAAUGAAGCCACCGCUUCCAAAAUGAUACUCUUGGCUCAUUUUCUGUUGCCAUAAGCUCAUUGCCACGCACUUGGACAAUUUUUCCAAGUCCAAUGUAUGCAGUCGAUGCUUCCAAUCAUGCCAGGGAAGCCUCGCAUCUCACCCUUCCUUAGAAGCCUUCGCAUGUCCCUUGGCGUGGGUGUUCGGAGGUACUCAUUGGUGUAAAGGGCUUCAAUUGCAGAGCAAAACCGCAUCAGAGACUCCAGAAUAGUUGUUUUUCCUAUCCUCACGAUCUCAUCCACUUGAUCUGCAUAUGCUCCAUAUGCAAGCAUUUGUAAGGCAGCCAUAAUUUUUUGCUCUGGAAGAAGACCUAGAACACGAAAAGCAUCUUUUUUUUGCACAAAAUAUGGAUCAUGGUUGCAAAUAGCACUCAUGAUUUUG